ensembl:lncRNA
GAAAACGGCAAACUCCCGUUUUAACCAGCAAGAUUUCCAGCAGUUUUAAUGAAUGUUUUUUAAAGAAGAAAAAAAAUCACCCUGACAACAAACAGUUGUGUUUAUCAUCUCUGCCACGAAAUAGUAAGGAUCUGACUGCUGUCCAGCGAACAGAUGCAGGCAUUUGUCCUUAAAUGUGGAUGGAGACCUCACAGGUUGUCGGAGUGCAGGUUGAGAACCGAUGAGUCUCAUGGAGUGUGUUCCAGGAGUCACAGAGAAUGUCCGAGAGCGGCGGACACACUGGGUGUGGAGGGACAGGGAAACCAAGGCCCCAAGAAGAUAAAUGACUCGCUCAGGGUCAUGGAGGUGAAUGUGUCCAGGACCCAGCUGGCCAGACUCCCCGUGACCCCACCCAGCUCUUUCAUCUACACAAACGCAACUCCCACCUAUUAGCUUAGUGAGCUGGACAACAAUCUUAGUAAAAUAGGAUGAGGGACUUCCCUGUGUGCUCCAGUGGUUAAGAAUCCACCGCCCAGUGCAGCGGACUCAGGUUCCAUCCUUGGUCAGGGAACUAAGAUCCCCUAUGCCUUGGGGCCACUGAGCCUACUGCUGCAACUACUGAGCCUGUGUGUCCUGGAGCCUGCAUGCGACACUGAAGAUCCUGAGGGCCAUGACUAAGACACAAGGAGCCAAAUAAAUAAAUAGCUAAAAAAAAUAAAAUGAAAAAUGUCCCAUCCUCG